rnacentral:misc_RNA from 1 species
UCGACGGAGUUUGGAUUUUGAACGUUGCUGUUGAGAGACUAGCUCGUUUGCAAUAGAUUAGCAACCGUGGUUGAUCGGAUUGACUCAGUGUAAUAGACUAUUUGCUGAGGAACGAAAGUGCCGAUGGACGAUGGAAGCUGCCAACGAAACAGUCGCCUGGAUUAGACCUCAGAUCAGACAGGAUUACCCGCUGAACUUAA